GCUUUGCAGCACCGCCGAAACACUAUAGCGUUUUAAGUGUUGUAACGAAAACCCGCGUUUCCGGAAAAAUUGCCUAGCUUAAAUAUUUUACGCACUGUAAUUCAAAAAGUAUAUUGUAUAAUAUAGUUCAGAGGUGUUCUCGGGAUUUUUUAUAGGGGGAGGAGAAAUGAAAAUGUAUCGAAGAGUAAGCCCGUGGUAUAGUCGGACUCUAAACUGUUGUUAUUCAUAAAUACGAUUUUCUAUUUAAAAAUGGGAGAUGGAAGGUUGGGG